rnacentral:lncRNA from 1 species
AUGACUCAGUUCCCUCAACUGGUUGUGAACAUUCUCUUAACUCGCCUAGCUUCUGAUCAGCGGCUCCCUAGUUCUGUACAUUGUAGUAGAGAGUUUUUAAUGACCAAACAUCAUCUUUCCUCUAAUCCCAGGAGACAGAGUGUCCCAGAGAGCCAGGCACACAGGAAGCAUCCUGUGGAAAGAGCCCAAGAAUGGGGACUACACCGGCGACAGAAACGACUGUUGUGGGGGAUCCGUGCGGCCUUUUGGCCGAGGCCUUCAGGACACAAGGCCCCCACCGACAGACGCGACCCUCCCUUGGGAGGGAGGCAGGGCGAGGGGGCGGAGGCCCUAGCCGCCGGCGAGUCACUCGGCACAAAGGAGACAGCAGGGAGGCGGCCGCAGGAGCCGAUCUGCGCUCGCCAGCCACUUGAAUUGCGGUUACAGACCUGCAGCUCCCCUCCCCCUCCCCACCCAGGCCCGCCCGCCCGCCCGCCUUUCUGUCUCCUUUCUCCCUCCGUACUGGCCGGCCCGGGUCCAUUUCCGGGCUCCGGGUAUUCGGUAUUGAUCAGGGCCGGGGGCGCGGGAGCAGGUGGCUGCGGCGGCGCAGCCUGCUGCGCCCGGGUCGGUCUCCCGCCGCCCUUGUCGCUAGCCCUUGCACGGCGGCCCGCCCCGUCCUCCGGGCCCGAGCGCUGCCCGCUGGACUUUGCGCCGCGUCGGGCGCUGCUGCUGCUGCGCGCCGGGCCGUGCUCUGUGCAGGCGGCUGCCGGGAAGCCGGAGGCGAAGUGCAGCCCGGACCCCAGGCCAACAUGGCUGAAGUCACCAUCGACCAGUCCAAGCUGCCGGGAGUCAAGGAAGGACAUUGCUCGACUCUUGCAAGAAAAGGAGUUACAGGAAGAGAAAAAGCGAAAGAAACACUUUCCAGAGUCUUCUGGAGUCAGUGCUUAUGGUGAUAGUUACUAUUAUGAAGAUGGAGGAAUGAAGCCCAGAGUGAUGAAAGAAGCAGUUUCUACUCCUUCACGAGUGACCCACAGAGAUCAGGAAUGGUAUGAUGCUGAAAUUGCCAGAAAACUUCAAGAAGAAGAAAUUUUGGCCACCCAGGUGGACAUGAGAGCAGCUCAAGUUGCUCAGGAUGAGGAAAUUGCUAGACUCCUAAUGGCUGAAGAAAAGAAAGCUUACAAGAAAGCCAGGGAGCGGGAGAAAUCAUCUUUGGACAAAAGAAAGCAUGACCCUGAGUGGAAGCCCAAAACAGCUAAAUCAGCACACUCAAAGUCAAAAGAGAGUGAUGAACCUCACCGUUCUAAGAAUGACAGACCAGCACGGCCACCACCACCUGCCAUGACAGAUGCUGAGGGUUUGGAUUACACUCCUUCUGGAAACCAGCAUAAUUCCACACGUCACUACUCAAAGUCAGAGUCUUCUCAUAAAGGUUUCCAUUAUAAACCGUAAAAACCUAGGAAUCUGCCUUGAAAACGGACUCACUGUAGCAAAAUUACUGGAUGAUACAGAACACAUUCCACGCUUAUUUUUUUCUUCCUCUAUUUUGUAUUCCUGAGAUUUAUCCUCAAGUGUUUUUUGGACCAUGAGUAUUUUUCAUUCAUUUAAAAUAUU